rnacentral:rRNA from 1 species
CGAAGCUGGAAUCGCUAGUAAUCGCGGAUCAGAAUGCCGCGGUGAAUACGUUCCCGGGUCUUGUACACACCGCCCGUCACACCAUGGGAGUCAGCAACGCCCGAAGUCAGUGACCCAACCAUUAUAGGAGGGAGCUGCCGAAGGCGGGGCAGGUGACUGGGGUGAAGUCGUAACAAGGUACC